CGCGUAGGCGGCUUGCCAAGUCAGUGGUGAAAUCCUGCAGCUUAACUGCAGAAGUGCCUUUGAUACUGGCGAGCUCGAGGGAGGUAGGGGUAUGUGGAACUUCUGGUGGAGCGGUGAAAUGCGUUGAUAUCAGAAGGAACGCCGGUGGCGAAAGCGACGUACUGGACCUCUUCUGACGCUGAGGCGCGAAAGCUAGGGGAGCAAACGGGAUUAGAUACCCCGGUAGUCCUAGCCCUAAACGUUGGGUACUAGGUUGUGGACUAACAUGGGUUCACAGCCGAAGCAAAAAGUGUUAAGUACCCCGCCUGGGGAGUAUGGUCGCAAAGGCUAGAAA
rnacentral:rRNA from 1 species